GACAAGAUAGUUCAGUUGGUUAGAGCGUCGGAAUCAUAAUCCGAAUGUCGGGGGUUCGAAUCCCUCUCUCGUCA
rnacentral:tRNA from 2 species